AAGAAAUCGAAAAUUAGGAGGAGAUGAUAGUUUUGCGUUAAAUGGGUAGUGAGUACUGUGUAUUGCCUGUUCUUGUUGCUUGUGAAGAUCACUGUAAAGCAGAAAUUGCAAUUUCACUGCAACUGAGCAAAUAGUGUAUAAACUAAUUUUUAUGAAAAAAUGUACGGUGGAGGAGGAGAAGCAUCAUCGUCAUCAUCAGCGUCAACGUCGACCUCAACAUCAGGCAUUUUGCAGAGGUGGAAAGAGAUUCAGAAUUCGCUCAAGGAGAGGUUAAUCACUGAGGAUGAUUUCCCAUGGAAGCUACCCAUACCUGGAAGCACAUCCACCGGUAAAGAAGAUGAUCAAGCGGNUGAAGUAUAUUGGUGGUGUUGAUGUGAGUUGCUUAAAGGAAGACCAAUCAAUUGCAUGCGGGACACUCGUUGUUUUGGAUUUUCGCACUAGCAAAGUGGUGUACCAAGAGUCUGCUCAUGUCAGGCUUGAUGUUCCUUAUAUUGCUGGCUUCCUUGCAUUCAGAGAGGCUCCAGUACUUCUACAGCUUCUUGAAAAGAUGAGAAAUAAUAACAAUCCUUACUACCCUCAGUUAGUAAUGGUUGAUGGCAAUGGGAUACUUCAUCCUCGAGGCUUUGGCUUGGCUUGUCAUCUAGGCGUUCUGGCCAAUCUUCCUACUAUUGGGAUUGGAAAGAAACUGCAUUUCGUAGAUGGGCUUACUGAAUCUGGAGUGAAAAAAUGUCUUCAAGCCAAAGUUAAAAGUGGUGAAAAUUUUAUUAUUUUGAAAGGACGCUCUGGGCGCAUAUGUGGAGCGGCAAUGAGGUCAACUGAGGGUUCUGUGAAACCUAUAUUUAUUUCGAUUGGUCACCGUAUAUCACUUGAUACUGCAAUUGAAAUUGUUAAAAUGACUUGCCAGUAUCGUGUGCCAGAGCCUAUACGACAGGCUGAUAAAAGAUCCAGGGGUUAUGUUCAGAAGCCUCAACAAAUAUUGAAACAAUUUAAUUGUUUGAAUUUGGAACCAAGUGUAUCUUGGAAAACUAUCACUGGCAAUCAUACCUUCAAUCACUUGAAAGAGAACAAUAACCAAGUGCGGAAUGGCUUAGUUGUAACGGGGCAAGGUACAUCCCAAGGAAGAGGUAGAGUUCAAGGGAGAGGAGCGGGACUGGGAAAAGGUAGAUGGGAAGAUAGAGGACAAGUUGAAAAGGAAGGGCAAGGACAAAGAGAGCAAGAAAGAGGGCAUAUCCAGGAAAGAGGGGAAGGACAGUCAAAUUGGAGAGGAUAUGGUUAUGGUAGGGGUACGGGGCCUACGGGCAGAGGAAAAGGGAUAGGGCAAGGUAGAGGAAUAGAGGGCAAAUGGGUAAACAAUUGUGAGCAUGUAUGGAUACGAAAGGAGUAGCAUCAUGAAGGAUUGAAAAAAGAUACAAUUCUAACGUUAUGUUUGGACACAUGCUUUGCUAUUUAAUAAAAGGUUCUUAAUGAUGAAAUGCAGGGAUAGCUUUAACGCCUCGAAUUGAAAUGCUGUUGUUUUUGGAUUCAAGAGCUGGAAUUGCAGGGAGA
rnacentral:misc_RNA from 1 species